CUCAAUUAAAAUAAUUAUUUUUAAUUUGUCAUUAUAUAUAUACAUAUAUGACGCAUUCACCAUCAAUCUUGGUUUAAAAACCAUUCGCAUAAUCCUCUGUUGAAUUACGGCGUAUAUUAGGGGCUGCGGCUGCGGUAGUUGGGGGGCUUGGGGCCAGUGGAGUGAAAAGGGUAAGCAGUAGCUUAAUUUGGAAUUUUGUCCGUAUUAGUUUGGCAUCUAAGCAAAAACCCACCUUCUGGUCCCGUGGAGGAAGAGAGUAUAGAUUGAGAAAGAUAAUGGAAGCAGUAGGCUUGCUUGGAGGAAGUGGACCAUGCGUUUCUGCGUCAUCCACUCUUCGCUCAUCAACACAGAGGAGUUACAGAAGCAGCGGCAAUAGCUUCUCCUACGUUCCCCUCAAGAAGCUUAGCCUAUGCACCAGCCACCUAGCUGCAUUCCAUUCACCAUCCCACCUUUUCUCAUUUUCCCCUUCGCGUCCUUAUCAUGUUAAACCUCGCAAGCCCACCAAAACCCACAUCUUCCUUCCUCAUUUGGUCGCUUCCAUGGAAGUUGAAGAGACCUAUAUCAUGGUCAAGCCUGACGGCGUCCAACGAGGCCUUGUUGGAGAAAUAAUCUCCAGAUUCGAGAAGAAAGGAUUUAAAUUGACUGGCCUGAAGCUCUUCCAAUGCCCUAAAGAAUUGGCAGAGGAACAUUACAAGGAUCUCAAAAGUAGGCCUUUCUUUCCUAAGCUAAUCAAUUACAUCACUUCAGGUCCUGUUGUGUGCAUGGCUUGGGAAGGCGUUGGCGUUGUGGCAUCAGCACGUAAGUUAAUAGGGUCUACAGAUCCUCUGCAAGCUGAACCAGGCACAAUAAGAGGGGAUCUAGCUGUUCAAACAGGAAGGUUAGUCCCUACAAGCUCUGUAAUAAGCUGAUUCGUAUGUCUAUUUGUUUUUUGCUCUAGUGGGUUGCACUUUUCCCCCUUCCAUGUAGCAAUUUUGUUCUUUCUUAUGAUGAAAAUUUCUGCAGGAAUGUGGUCCAUGGCAGUGACAGCCCUGAGAAUGGAAAACGUGAAAUAGGUAACUCCUCUUAUGCUCUAAAUUUACUUUCUUUUGUGUAGCAGAAGUAUUUCUUUUGCAAAUGGUUUUGGUUUCGGAGUCCAGUUAUCUGGUCUUGAGUGGUUGAUCCAAAUGCAGUCUUCUGUGGGUUAUGAUGUACGAGGAAUAGAUCCAUAUUUGGAAUGUUUUCAAGUUGACUACAGAAAAUUCCUUUUGGAAAAAAAGUAUAUAAGAAGCGAAUCUUGAGAACAGUUAACAUAGAAAACACCAUGAGCAAUAUUUAAAAGAGAGAGAAAAAGUUUCUGAGGGGAUAACCCAGAUUGCUAAAACUAGGAAUUCCAACUUAGAGGUCUAAGGUUUUGACUUCUAGGAUGGGGAAUAGGGGUUUCUUUCUUUCUUUCCUUCUUUUCUUUCUGGUACAAGGAAUGAGGAUUUUUGAGAUGGGAGAGUGUAAACUCCCAUUAAAUAGUCUAAAUGCCAGUUUAGCAGUGUGGGUGAGUGGUCUGCUUCAUUUUCAGCUUCUCGAAGACCUGGUUUGGGAAAAGUUUACAUUGUAGCUUUUCCCAAACCAUGGUUCACAUGAAGCAGGUCAGAGAAAAAUUAAAAAAUAAUUAAAAGAAACUGGAAAAGCAGAGGCAGGUGCUCCAAACACGCCGCCAAGCUGGCCCUAAGGCCUGAUGGCCACUUCAUGGAUAAAAAAGUUAAGGGAAAAAACUGUUGGGUUGGGGGGGUCAAGGGGAAGAAGUUUGUUUUAUGGAUUGAAUGCAGCACAUACAUGCUUCAUCUUCGAAGUAAAACAAUCUCACUGCCCGGUGCUUUUUCAUUGACAUUUCUAACAAGGUUGCUGUAAGUACUUUUUGUAACUUAUUUAAGAUCUCAGUUGUAAAAUUGAACACGAACAAUAGACUAGCUUAUGCCCAUAGUGCAAUCUGCUUUCUGUUGCUCUAUCUUGCAUUUGUGUGUGUCUGUUUUACCAAUUAAAGGGACAGUACACAUUGUAGGCAGAUCAAUAUUAUUCACCUUCUCAGUUCACAGUGAACACUUGAACUUUGAUGUGGUGGUGUUGCUUUAAUAUUUUUCUAUUACAAUUUUUGAAGUGAUAGAUAAAGCUCUGAAUAAAAACUCAUCAUCAUUCUUGACCUUUACCUCAGCCCUUCUAAUAAUUAAUGACAUUUGCUUUACUCACAGCACUUUGGUUUAAGGAAGGUGAAUUAUGUCAGUGGUCACCAGCUCAAGCAACUUGGCUAAGGGAGUGAUUUUCACAGAGCACUUCAGUUGGAGAGGCAUGCAGUUUUCAAGAGUUUUCCUCUGAGCAGCUGUAUUUAUUUAUUUUUCUCAAUUUGGAAUAAUUCUGUCUCAGUGCAUGAAGAUUCAAUGUGAAACAUGUGAGAAAAUUCAGAUCAGUUUCUGCUCUUUGCCUGGAAAAUUGUCUUCUUUUGUUCUGAUGCCUUAACACUAGAUUGAGGUAUGGAACUGACCUUAGAUUGUGUUUAGAAAAUAUACCUAGUAGCACCCAAGUUUCUGCUAUUCUGAGGAUUAAUCUUGGCAAUUCAUUAGAUAUUAAAGAAAAUGUCAUAAGCUCAGUUAGGCAGCAUUGUGCCAUUGUCAUUACCAUAUGUAUUGAGGGGGCUUAAGGUUACUUGCUGGCCUAAUUUGGCAUUAACCAUUCCAUGAGUUCUACCCCACCUAAAGGAAUGAUGUG
rnacentral:misc_RNA from 1 species